AAGACUAUCCUUUCAGGGAUCAUUUUUAUAGUUUCUAACUAAGAAAUGUGAUAGGAAAGUGGUCCAUCUUCCUAAUCAUGGUGGUGAAUUAUGAUGUACUUUUCUAAACAUGAGUCGGAUAAUAGUUUUGUGUUUCAUGCGUGAGCUAUAGUUGUUGAGUGUUCUUUGUCUUUAAAAAGAUAUUAGAAGAAAAGUAUGUAAUCAGAGUGAU